AAUAAAGAACAUUCGAUUACGAUACGGGACCAGGUAACUUAGCGCAUAUCACUGGCUAGUGUUUGGGUGAAGUGUGGUGCUCUGUCACUGUUCAUUCACAACUACAGAAAUACAAAAGCCAUAAAUGUUUAUCAUUUCCACAGAAAAACUGAUGAUCAGAUACAUUAGGUCCUGAAAGAGCAAACUUAUGCUUCUUGAGCUGCCUGAUUCUCACACUUCAACAAAAUUAUGGUACUGAAAUACAUUUUAGCAAAUACAUUCCAAGUGGUAUUUUAAAAUAUCAUCAGAAAACAAUAGUAAUUAGCCAACAGGCAGUCACGAAAGUGAAAGCCAUUUGUGUAACAUUUGUCAACAUUACAAAAAUCACAAAAAACAAUUAGCAUCUGAGUAAUAACUUUCAUAUGAUUUUACUCUGUAAGAAAAAUGGAUAUUAGUCCCUCACACCAUCCAAUAACUGAGGCCACACCCAACAUGACCAAGAUGAACACGUUUCCCCCCAGAAACCAGUAAUUUUCAGCACUACAUUUCUUUGAUAGUAAUAGAUAUAAAUUAACCCUGUACCUGCUAGACCGUCCAGCUUUCUGAGAGCUGUUUACUCAUGUUUUACUUGUGGAAAGCCCCCGACUAAAGAGUCAGAAAACCUGCAUCCAAGUUGUGACCUGGCUAUUUACUGGCUGUGAACCCAUCAUGUCAACCUUCAGUAACAAUGUCCUCAUCUGUAAAGGGACAUAAUGCCACGUACGUCACAGAAAUGGUGAAGGGAAAGAACAAAAUGAUGUAUAUGCUAGUAGCCAAGACGACGGAGCAUACAGUAGGUAUCUAAUACAGCAAUCAUUUGUCAAAUGAAUAAGCAUCAGUCUUACUUUACAAAAUGUCUGCUUGAUAAACUAUGUAAAACAAAUUAUUCUUACUCUCCGCCAUGACUUUAAAACUCUGGAGAAGCUGGUUUUUAAAGGAAAUCUUAGCAUUAAAAGAGACUGGUAUACAUGCGAGUUAGAAAACCAUGGCCUUCUUUACUUGAAAAUUGAAGACGGUAUAUAGAUGAUUCAGUUUUCUUAUUUAGAGCAGCCUGAACAAUUCCUAAUCAUCUUAUAGAUUUAUUUAUAAGGCAGAUAUAACAAUCUAAGGCAAGAUAGUGUGUAAAAUAUUUUAAAGUUAACUCUGUAAAAUGGAUUCGAACAUUGAACUUAUAAGUCAAUGUGAUUAUUAAAAAAGGACUGAAAUUGGACUUACCUUGUACUACAGCUUACUGACUGCUACCAACCCAGCCAUCCUACUGAAUUAGCUAAGGAAUGCAUCGAAUCAUCUCUUGAAGAAAUUAUGUCAGAGCAUUUAUUACCUUAACUACUUUAAUUAUCAUUUUGUACAAGAGAGGGCACUCUAACGCUUUAUUUUCUUCUUAGCAUGCAAUGAAAUGGGGAAGCCCAGACAGAUUCCCCAUAUCAAGAUCUCAGUCUGAGAUCAAGACUGAGGUCGUGAAGGCAACUCCACACACUACAAGCUUGCACACACAGCUGCUUUUUCAGAGUCACCUGAAGGGGAAACAGUGACCAGCAAUGAAAUACAAAGUAAUUUUCAUCUCUCGAGAGGAUUAAUUUGAAGAAAAAAAUCUAAACAAGGUGAAUUAGUACCAAGCAAACAUAGGCUCAUCCUAAAAAUAGAUUUGGAUUGGAAAUAUGCUUUUCACCCUAAUUGUGUCCAAGGAGAAAAAGCUAAAAUGACUGCAUUUAAAAAGCAAAUAAGAUAUAACAACAACGAAUAUCUAUUACCUGUAAGAUCUUAUAGUUUUUAAAACCAUUACUUGUAUCAUUCUUUUAUGGAAAACAUACAGAGAUAUUAACAUGCUCAUGGUUCAAGAGAAAGGGAUAAAAGCUUAUUAACUCUCCCAAAAAGCUUAGUCUCCACAGCUGCUUCCACCCCACGGAGUUCCCUAAAGUAUAAAACGGGAUUAUGCGAACAUCUUGCAUUUUGGCAACAACCCCUUCGGAUUCGGCUCCCGUGUGCGAUGCCGGAGGCCCCCGGUCCUGCUCUUGACCCCCGUGCACUUGCCUGUGUCUGAGGCGGGAAGGACGGGGCUGUGCCCUGACACCUGGGGCGAGGGGCUGCCGCAGGUUCUGACCGAAGGGCUCUGGGCUUGAAUUUCAAAAGUCUUUCAUGAGACCAGAGGGAGGCUUGCAAGGGUGCUGGAGUGAAUGUUGCCAAAAACAUUUCCAGCACAUGGGCCCUUUCACUACAAAUCCCAUUUUAUAAAUACAGUUAGUCCACGUCCGACUCAGUAAGAAAUGAUCAGAAACGCUUUUCAGCUAUUCAGUCCUCUGCUCUAGUGUUGAGAAGUUUGGUCUCUUAAGUUAAAACCCUGAUGCACAUCUGUUUCCAAUGUACUCUUGAUUAUUCUUUGUGAACAAAACCAAAGAUGCUGUUUCUAUUUUGGAAAAUGUUAAAGAAAACCUACGAUAGUGAUGAUCUCCAUUCUGAGGGAGGCACGUGGUGCUCCCAGACCCCGUGUGAGCACAGCUGCUCCCCGAUGCAGUCCGCUUUAAAUAGGAGCCAGUGACAGGCCUGUCAACAGUCUGCAGCGCCGGCUGAGUCCCUCCGACAGCAAUGCAAACUUCGGGUUGCAUCGGGGAGUGUGGUGGGAACAGAACACACGUGUGCGGUGGUCAGAUGGGGCUUCUGAAUUACAGAUAGAGUGGGAGUACUGAAACUGCCCCCAGACGACUUGGGAAAAUGUUCAAGAUACGAUAAAUGAUGGUGAAGCGUGCAUACACACGCACACACGCACACACUAUAUACGCACGGUGAAAUGAGCUCAAAAACAAUACAUUUAUAAUCACAAGUGAUUAAAACUCAUAAUAUCAAAAGCUAAUUUUAGAAUACCAAAAAGAUUGCAUGUUCCAUCAAACAUGUGUUUUGAACCUAAGCCAGAAGCUGCCAAAAUAUUUAUAAACAUUCCCCUUUUCCCCUCCAGGUUCAAACUCAGUAACCGCAGGCCAAGCUCAGUUCUCCCCAGACCAUCACCCCGGCUCUGUGUCUGACAUCUUCAGGAAUAGUUGUCACAAAUUGCAGAAGGUGACCGUCAAUGGUGACAAGUUUAAGACCAAGGCUACUGUCACAUCAAUUCUUUUCCUUAACAGACAUCUGAGAUCAAGACUGAGGUCGUGAAGGCAACUCCACACACUACAAGCUUGCACACACAGCUGCUUUUUCAGAGUCACCUGAAGGGGAAACAGUGACCAGCACCUAAACCCCUGGCCCUUGACGGCUCCGACCAUCACCGUGAGCACAGGGAUGUGGAACACAUCCUCAAGCCCAGACAGAUUCCCCAUAUCCGGAUCCUUCCCCUCCUACCAUGUGGCUUUCCUUUACGGUGUCCAAACAAAGCUAGGGGUGAGGAGAAGGGCUUCAGCAGAAGCAGUGGCAAUGGUCACUGUAAGAGGAUCGGAUCGCAGGAAGUAGAAGCAAGCAGACCCUUGGUGACCACUGGUUCGACCUCACUGCACAGGUGUGGGAAGAAGGGACAGAGACGAGCCCCACACAGUUUCUCACCCUCAGUGCUGAUGACCUUUUGGGCUGGUAGUUUUUUGGGGGGCAGUGGGAGCUGUCCUGUGCCCUGCAGGGUGUGGAGCAGCAUCCCUGGCCUCCACCCCCCACAUGUCAGAAGUAGCCCUUCCCCAAUUUGUGACAACUGAACAUGUCUCCAGGCUGGCGCUGAGGACAAGUGCUGGGGAGUGGCUGGUGCACCAUCUGCUUUACUCCACAUGGACCAGCCUAGGGGCUGCCUGGACGGUGCCAGGAUGCAGACAGGACAGGCCCAGGGGUCCCUGUAGGCCAGUGCUCUCCCCUGUGAACUCCUGCCCCCUGCUCUACUGAGCCCAGUUCCUUAGGACCCUCCCAUCUGAGAAAACACAGCUGCUCGGUGCUCCCUUCCCUGCAGAGCAUGGAAACUGUGCAGCACACUUCCACGUACAUUUUUGAGGUUCCCACAGGCAUCCUUGUGAGGAGGUGGGACAGUGACACCACCCCCUUGCAUACAGCUGAGGGGAUGGAGGCUCCUGUGCACGCCUAUGGCCUUUCUCCUGUGGACCCCAUUCCACAUUCUGCUCCUCAAGAGCCCUCCAACAUCAGAUUACUAUGAGCCACUGACAUUUCACAACCACUGAUGUUGGUGAUGAUGUCACCAUCCUCCCCAUUACCUGAAUCCGAACCAGCCCUACCUGAAGCCUCUGUCCUUCCACAUCCAACCACCUGUGGGAAAAGAGUCAUCGUAGCAUUACGGAGUCUAACUGCGAUCCCACUAAGGCGUUUGCCUCCUUUCUGGUCCCGGUUCCGCUGUGCUAGCUCAAGCGCUGCUUGUCUUUGCCUCUUACACGGGCCUCCCAUCUCUGACCCUCCAACGCUCCACACUCCAGUCAGGACCCUCUGACUGCAAACAACCCAGACAUGUCCCUCUGGGCUUAAAAGUCAUCAGCCUCUGGGGCAUCCAGGGCAAAGCCCAGCUCCACAACAUAAACUCCAGGAUCUCCCCAGUCUGACCCAAUCUUCUGGACAUCCUCUCAGCGUACUCUGCCCUCUUGACAAACAGCUGGCCCAGGACUCACAGGUCACUGAUGGGGAAAGACCUGCCCACAUGGUCCCCUCCUGCAAAAACAUGUUAUUCCCACCUGAGUUUUCAUAUUGCCAUCCUACCCUUCAAAGCCCAUUUCACGUGCCAUCUCUGACACAAAGUUGGCCCCAUUCUCCUGAGUCAGAACUGGCAACCCCACGCCUGUGCUCUCUGCACACCGUCACUGUGUUAAGUCGGCACAGCCCUCAUCCUGUGUGUAUGCAGGUCUACUCUCCCGCGAGUCCCUUAAGGACUGUGGCUUUCUCCCUCCCUCCCUUUUCCCAGAGCAUCAAGCACAGUCUCUUGCAUACUGUAGGUGCUCAAUAGAUGCUUACCAAUUCCACUUGAAUCACUUAAGUCAGAAUAUAUUUCCCUGUGCUCUGGUUUCAGUGCUCUCCCCCUUCCUGAAUGACUGCCGAACAAGUAACACAGAGAAUGGCGUGAGAUCUAAAUCUCCGUGGGGAAGAUUCAUCUGAUCCUGUUACACACUGCAAGGAUUCUUUCCAUUUCAGGCUCAAUAGAUGGUCACCAGACGGUUGUAGGGAGCUUAUUAUCUGUGAGACUGAAGAUGACUUUCACUGGGUAGCUCGAAUACUUGAAUUCUUGUGCCAAACUCAGUCUUUUCCCUCCUUGAAAUGCCUGCGCUCUGGGCCUCUACAGCACGAAUACCACCUCUUCGCUGAGAUGGUACCAACAGCUGGAGUCGGUCACUGAGGCUCCCGUGAUACAGCACCCGGCUCUUUCAACCUCUCCAAAUGAACCACGAUUUCUAGACCUUUCAUCAUUCAUUCUUAUCUCGUCUCAGCCACCCCGUCUCCAUGAAUAUCCCCGACAUCCUCCAGUUGGCCAAGACUUUCUCCACAAGGGGCCACACUGAACAUAAUGCUUCAGCCAAGCCGGAGUAAGGUCUUCACAAAGGAAAUCAGUAUCUUCCAGUUUAGUCCUCUGAACUCGAAUUAUGGCCAAAUAAGACUGAAUUCAUUUUAUUAGCUACAAAUCGCACUGCUGGCAUAUACUUAACAAUUAAACACAUCUUUCAAACCAUUUAAAAAUAGUGUUAUGCCAGACCCUCCACAGGCUUAUAUGCAUGGACAGUAUUAUAAACAGACAGAAUAACAAUAUUAAGCAAAAUGAAGCAGCGAACAAAGCCGUAAAUGCAGUGUUGCAGGUUUCCCUGUUACAUUUUGCUAUCAAUUUUUUGAAUCCUAAGUUAACGUAUUCAACAGUUUCACUGCUGCACAAGGAUUUUUAUCAUCUCAGAAUUCCUUAGGUGUGGAAACUGUAUCUCCAGCCCCAUUCUGACCCCAGCAGGGACCCCAACAAAGACCCCUAGCGUGUCUCCAUGCCCUCCCCAUGCACACAGGGACUGCCGGGUGGAAGACCGUCUCGGGUGGGAAGUGGUUUCCUCCGGUUUGUCUUGCAGAAACUCUCUAAUUGGGUCAGCUAGUCUGAUGACAUGAAUUAAGACCAUCCAGGCUCCACAAACACAAUAAUUCGAUUUAGGACUAACAGGAACCAGCUCUCUAAGCAUAAUACAAUUUUAGUUCUCAAGUGAAUACAGACAGCAGAGAACAACUGGAUUACCGGAGUCCCGAGGAAGCAGCCAGGGUGCUUGGAACCUGGUUUUGGAGGAAGAUACAGAGACCAGCCUUGUUCAGAAUGUGCUAAAUCUAAAAACACGAUGCAGUGAGCUCAGUAAGGCUUUCCAGGGGGAAUGUGAAAAAUUUAGCAAACUACCAGGCCUGUGUUCACAGGAGAAAUAUUACAGGCAGAAUCUUGACUAGGAAAUGUUAACAUCAAGUACUUUUUCUAUCUUUGCGGAUGAAGAAUAACAUAUUUUAAAAAAAGAUGUCCACUGAAACUGGCUAAAAAUUCUUAAUAUUAGUGGAGAUAUUCACAUGAUUGUUAAGUGUUCAACAUGACUACAUAUUUUGAGAGUGCCUUCAGCUCAUAAUUUUUCCACUCUACUCCAUCAUCUUUGGUGGUUGAGAACUAAGGGUCAAGUACAACACAAAUUAAUUAGAAGCACAAAAUUAUGCAAUUUCAUUUCUGAGCUUCAAAAAACACAAAUUAAUGCCAGCAUGUUCACAAAUAAAUGCACUUCCACAAUGAGCUGCCCUUUGGGUCUCCAACCUUUUUUUGGAACCCUCAAAACGCUUUAAGCUCACAAGACAAUCAUGCGUAAGUAAGUCCUAAAAAGUGAUCUUCUCUUCUUCCAUAUCCACAUUUUAAAAUAACACUUAUUUCCCAAAGCACGUUUACCCGUGGAAAUAUCUCAAAGCAAUCUUAUUUGAAACUGAAAGGUGUCAGAGUUCCUAUGUCGUUAGGGAACAAAAAUAUGAAACCAUAAGCUUUUGCCUCGAAGCCCCCAUGGGAACGAAGCUCUCACUUUCAUGAGGCAGAAAGAGCCGUGGUCAUCACCUAGGUCUGCCUGUGGCUUCAGAUCACCAUGUGAGCUCGAGGAAACCGCAGCCUACGUCUCCGUAGCCUUGACUGGGAUCUAAGAACAUGCCACAGUGACAGUACUAAAGGAUU